UUUUUUGUUGUUUUGUUUUACAUUCUUUGACUAGUGUUAAAAAAGGUUUCGCAAGUCAUACUUGAGCGAGCUCAAGCUUGAUAGACUCGCUAUAAGUGCACAGAGUUGGAUAGUGGAGGUCAGGCCUCUAAUCGCUUCCGCAGAAAAGAGCACCCUAAUAUUCACUAAUGAUCCUUCCGCAGGUUCACCUACGGAAA
rnacentral:misc_RNA from 1 species